GAAAGUUAUAAAACUACUCAGCACUGUAAGAGAGAAUACGGCUGCACUAGAGGAAUUUUGGAUGUUUACCAAUGUUGCUUUUCAGUGUCUUGUGCGUUUUCCUUGAACCUUGAAGAUGGGAUAGAUGAACCUGCAAGGCAAUUCUUUACAAAGGAAAAGAGGAAUCACCUGUUGUUCAGCAAGGAGACAGGCACCAAGGAGCUCAGCUCCAUCUGAUGUGACAGGUGUACCCUAUCCAGUCAUCAGUUGAAACCCACCAGUGGCAGGGCCUGCAGCUGGGCCCAUUUUCAGCAAGGUCUUCAUCCCUAAAUUAGGAAUGAUAACAUCAGCCUGUCUUGUGGAGAGAAGGUGCUGCUAGGCUUUGGGACUGCAAACAAAUAAGGAGAGGUGUUUGAGAAGUAAGAUCUGGAACAGAAGGAAGAACAAGAAGCUUAAAUGGGGGAAAGGCAGCAAGGAGAUUCAAAAACCAAAGGGAAGAUGUGGGUAGAUGGGAGCAGGCACAGCAGCCUGAGGGAGAGAUGCAUGUGCUCAUCCCCAGCACACCUGGCUCCUUGCUGAUGUCUGCCUUGGAGCUGCCACUGGAGAAGAUAGGAAAUGAGCACGCAUGGAGGGGAUGUCCUAUGGCCAAGGAGCUCCAGCACAACAGAUUCAAAGCAGAAAAAGCCUCCAUUGCCAUUGGGAAGACAGACUGGGAGAAAUCUUUGUCACGCUCAUUUUUCAUCUGCAUCCCAGCAUAGCAGUCAGCUGCUCGAGACCUGCCCGCCUCCGUGACGUUUCCAGGAGGGCCCAGCGGUGCCCACCUCGUGCUCCAAAGCUCUUUGGCCAGAAGUUACACUUGGACCAACCGAGGCUGCUUUGCUGAAUCCAUCUCAGUAUCCCACUCACAGAAGCUUUUAAUUUCCUCACUACCAGUUUGAGGGGGAUGGGAGUAGAAUAAAUUGAGAGCGGAAUAAAUUUACGCUCUGUUAAAGAAACUGACAGGCUACAAUGUUAGUGUACAGUAAUAUUAUUCUGAGUACCCACGAUGCUGUUUUUGGCACCAACGCUCUGCUCCAGUGCGUAGGAGAGAUCCUGACCUGCCUUCCUUUUGUGGCUGCGCAUGAGGAGGAAAAUAAAUGUAAAGGGUUUCUAACUCAUCUGGACGUAGCUAAUGGGAAGAGCCAUGUUAGGAGAGUUCUCUCAUGGACAGCAGACUUCACUUCAAUGCGGUAAUUGUGAGUGAUCAGUCAGAGCUUCAGUCUUGUGCCCUUAUCUGAGCAGGAAGAUCCUGAAUAUUCUGCACCUGGAAAACUCACCGUGAGAGAAAUCCACACUGUCACAGCAUUUCACUCACAGAGACAGGUCUUUUCUGUUGCUGCCGCCAGCCCCUACCAGCAGUCACCUCCUGCCUGUGUCUGCUCCCUGCUUUGGCAAAGAGGGAUCGCUGCUGUCAGUGGUGAGAUGUGAUGCGGUGUUGGAGCCAAAUCCCCCACUGGAUCCUCCAUCGCCAAGGCACGGGAAAAGCAAAAGGAGCCGUGGAUCAAACCAAAUGUGGUAGACUGCAUGAAAUCAGAUUUCUAUUGCUGAAGCCAAGGACGUUCAUAGGUGUUUCCUGGAGCAGGUAA